AUCCCCAGGCUCCGCCUUCACUUCGGGACCGCCCCUCUCCACUGACCUUGCUUCUCUGCACCCUGACUCAGGUGUCCGCUAGACUGAACCCGUGAUGCCAGCCCUGCAGCUGACCGCUUUAGCCGGGGCCUCGGACUAACAUUUGCUGCUUGACCGCGGUCAGACCUGUCAACUCCGCCUCCUGACCAUGAGAACAGCUGGGCCUGCCUUGAAUAUCCUGGAGGUCUCCGAGGUCUGGCUAAGUGUUAAAGUCCUGCAAGCUGCACAUAUGUGACAAAUAGACUAGCAGCUCACUGAAAUCCUUGUGGGCCAACACUUACCAACAGCUCGACUGCAAUAAAUAACAUUUAAGGAGAAUUCUAAUGUUAAGGGAUAUAUAUUUAUAGUUUUUCCCUAACUAUGUAUAUUGUAUUUUAAAAGCAAUCAAUAAAGUAUCUUAAAGUUCUGUAAC